UCCUCCUCCUCCUCCUCCGCCACCUCUUCUCCGUCUAUAUAUAUAUACCACCGACAUUAUACUACUACUACGGGUACUCCACUUUCAUUCAGUCGCUUCUAAAAAUAAAGUCCCUGAUUCACAAUGCAUGAAUGACAAUCACACUGAAAGGAAUACCGCACAGACUUGUAGCCUUUCUCUCUCCGUCCCGGUGGGCAUCUUUGUCGUGCUUACGAUCUCUCGCUCUUGCUCUUACCGGUCGUCUCCCAUCUCGCUUCUUUGUCUCCGGCGAUUCUCUCUCAGUCUCUCUCCCGGUCUCUCUCUCUCUCUCUCCCAACUCGUUUCACCCGUCUCGCUCCCUUUUUCCGGCUAGAUCUCUCCCUCCUGCCGUUAUCCACCCCCAUUUCCACGUCCUCCCUCCGCAACUCACGCUGCCGCGCGUCGGUCUCUCGUGUAAGAGAGCGAAAUCUCGAUUCGCCUGUUGCGUCAAACUAUUGGCUCCGUGUAAAUAGAUCCCGUGGAAAUUCCAAGUACCAUUGCCGGCAGCGUGAUCGAUUCGAGAAGGGACAAGAUCGAUGGCGCAUACGGGUUACUUGUUGCUCUGCACGCCGGAAUUUACGGAUUCGACGAACUGCAACUGUUCCUUCGUUCGAAUGCACAGGGUCGUGAUCAACAGUGAUCACGUAGCCGCAACGCUCGAGAAAUUCGAGGAAAUUGGCUCGCAACCCGGACUACGCUGCCGAGUUCUCUCUGUCUCGAAGCAUCCAAGGAGAACUGGUUCGGUACUCAUCAUCAUCGUCACCUAGCGUUCGCGAUUCGACGUUCCAAAAUAAAAAGCGGAUAAUCGAAUGUCCCUGACUGCGGCAAAACAUCGGACCAAGCGACCGUUCGAGAAAGUCAACGUUGAAAAAUGAAUGGACCAGCCUUGAGUCGUCACAGACGAAUUCUAAGAGCCGCACAACUAUCCCAGCGUGGAAUUCACCGACGCGUUUAACAUUAAUUCUGGCCGCUACGGAAUCGCAACAAAGAUCAGAGACCCGGGCGAUGCUAAUCAUUCGAGGAGGAAGCAAUGGGAACGAGGAAACUAUAUCUAUCGGGGCAACAAAUUUUCGUAACGUGGAAUCUUAAUGUAGGGGACGAUCAACCCGGUUGGCAGAGUUUCCCCCGCGAUGAUUAUCCGUCGCCUCGAGCCUCCGACUAUGCUCUAGAGAGACUGCGGUGCUCGGAGCAUGAGGCAGAGUUAGUAGUAGUAGCAGCAGCAGCAGCAACAACACCUAACCAGCGGCGAGAGCUGCUCACGGCUAAAUAUAUCUCUCUCUCUAGAGCUACUCAAGGUCACAGCGCUCGGAUUGGCCCAUGAUAAAGCCGAGCCUGAUGCCCGUCUCUCGUCCGACUGGUCUUAUGCUCCGUCCGCACACGUUCCGUGCCACUGUCGUUGCCGCUCCACUGUCGUGGCCCACAUGUUGCCUCGCAACAAUGUCGUGUAGCAGCCGCAUCGAGAACACGUGUUCGUAUCGAACACGGCUAUAGCGCCCCACAUCCGAGCACCGUAUUUCGAACGCGAUACAGGAUACAACCAGUCGCGGCUACCGUUCGCGCUCUCUUUCGUUCCCCUCUCGCGCUAAUUGCAUCUUUUUCUGAUCGCGUUUAAUCAGAUUCGUUUAUUCUACGAAUAAAUAAAAUUUAUUCGUAGAAUAAACGUUAUUCGUGUGGCCUGUUGUUAUCUUCAAAUGAUUAACAGGUUGCGGAUCUAUUUUUAAAAAUAAUCGAUGAACAGCCGCGUGGUCGAAAUGAGAAAAUUGUUCUAUAGCGGGAGUAUCUCUAUCUUUUUCCUGUCCGGAGGAAGGUAAUAAGUGGGGACAAAUUCUCGUUGGGAAGAGACAAUGCGGGCUCGAGCAGCAGGGAAAUAUUCAAAAGUAGUUUUCGGCGCUUUUGAACGUCGGUCGAUUCAAUUUCGAGGAGGCUGUUCUGCGGUUCGACGAUGCUGAUAACAGAACUGAGCUUCGCUCGUUCUGCAGCUGAAUUUGAGGUUAGGUUAUUGUCCGGCCGUGCGGUGAGCAUCGAUAACGGCGCGUUGCAACCGCGCGCGCGUCCUGCUCGGCCGAUCUGGCAACCGUGUACUUACCGGUCGACAGUGCCGGGGUUGAAUUUCAAGCGCCCGAGGGACAGAGGGGGUCGGGCCUCUCUCUUUUGUAUAGGGGGCACGAGGGCUUCACCGAUGCUCGGCGCAUAACGGUGAGUCGACGGCCGUGAUGUGGGGCUUAUACAGGCUUAUACUCGGCUGCCCGGUUGGUUCUCUUGCCUCUUGCCUACUAAAACGCUUCGAAAGAAAACCGGCCUUUCUCUUCGUCUUCCCCUUCUGUACCGUGUCCCUCGUAACAUUAUCCGCGACUUGCGCUCUAGGCCUAUGGGGUUGAGUCCCAGCAUAAUCGCUCGUUUCUCACCACCGAAUAUUCCCCUCUGUAUUCGAAUUACGAGACUCUCCAACCUCCCGCAUCAUGGUGGGAAUUUGAAAUUCAGUAAACAACGUGUCGUUCGAGCAAUGUUUCCUCUUAUUUAAGUAUUUUAAAAUACUUAACUAUAUAAAAUGUCCGUGUGUGAAACCGCGGCUCCUCGUCGAUUGCAAUUUAGUUUUUUAGAACAUGACUAUAACGCUAGUAUGUACGUUGCGAAUAAAAACUUCUUAAAUCGUC